GACGAACGCUGGCGGCGUGCCUAAUACAUGCGAGUAGAACGCUGAAGGAGGAGCUUGCUUCUCUGGAUGAGUUGCGAACGGGUGAGUAACGCGUAGGUAACCUGCCUGGUAGCGGGGGAUAACUAUUGGAAACGAUAGCUAAUACCGCAUAAGAGUAGAUGUUGCAUGACAUUUGCUUAAAAGGUGCAAUUGCAUCACUACCAGAUGGACCUGCGUUGUAUUAGCUAGUUGGUGAGGUAACGGCUCACCAAGGCAACGAUACAUAGCCGACCUGAGAGGGUGAUCGGCCACACUGGGACUGAGACACGGCCCAGACUCCUACGGGAGGCAGCAGUAGGGAAUCUUCGGCAAUGGACGGAAGUCUGACCGAGCAACGCCGCGUGAGUGAAGAAGGUUUUCGGAUCGUAAAGCUCUGUUGUAAGAGAAGAACGAGUGUGAGAGUGGAAAGUUCACACUGUGACGGUAUCUUACCAGAAAGGGACGGCGAACUACGU
rnacentral:rRNA from 1 species